GGUGAAAACAGGACAACUCUGAUGAAGGCUCUGCAAUGCCAGAGGGAGGCUUGUGCAAAUAUUCUCAUAGAUUCUGGUGCUGAUCCAAAUAUUGUAGGCUGGCCACACACCACUUUUAUUGGCCAUAAGGAAAAGAAGUGAGCAAAUUGUGGAAUUUUUACUGACAAAAAAUGCAAAUGCAAUUGCAGUUGAUAAGUUUAAAUGCAUUCAUCAACAACUUUUGGAAUAUAAACAAAAGAUAUCUAAAAAUUCUCAAAAUAGUAAUCCAGAAGGAACAUCUGAAGGAACACUUGAUGAGGCUGCACCCUUGGCAGAAAGAACACCUGACACGGCUGAAAGCUUGGUGGAAAGAACACCUGAUGAAUAGGAUACAGUGAAUUCCUCUUCAAAGAUUUUAGCCUGUAAAUAUCCUUUAAAAUUCAAGAGGGGGAAGAUUAAGUACAAUGAGUUCUGAGUUCCUCAUCAAAGAACAAAUAUGUCAGUAUGUUCAGCUUCUCUGUUCUUUGUUCUCCGUUUUAAAGUUUAACUUCCUCGUUCGUUAUGCCUCCUU
rnacentral:lncRNA from 1 species